UCAUUAUUACUAUUUGCAUAGAUAAAGACCAGGUUUUAAAUGUACCUUGAUAGAAAAUCUAUUUUUGAAAUUUUGUUCAAAUAUUUCCUUCGUCUACUGAAUGCCUGAUAUAUAUGUAUGUAUGUAUGUAUGUAUGUAUGUAUGUAUGUAUGUAUGUAUGUAUAUGUAUCUGCAUGCACAAACAAACACAGAAACGGAGGGUGAAAAUGCAUGUCACAAAAGGAUUUUUAUAUUUUUUAUAUCUAUUUAUACAGUUUAUAUAUAUAUAUAUAUAUGUAUAUAUAUUGAAAUCAAAAAAGUUAAUAAAAAUUACUGAGGUUGGCUUAUUU